CUAUAGAACCCUCAUUUUGGUAGACUAUCUGAUCGAUGACGAUAGGAUACUAAGAAUGUGUUUCAAAUGAUUUUCGAACACCUCUUCGUAGUAUAGAGGAUCGAUGAAUUUAUGCUACGAAGUUGUAUUUUAGAAAACUAUUUUGUGCGUACCUAGUGAACACUAUGCCGCUUGGGGCGAGGAUCUGGUGUUGGCAUUGAGGCCGAGAGAAAUAAUCCCUAGCGAAAGGCUGAGGGACACAGAGACAGGCAUUGGGUCUAGAUGGAGAUAUCUCUGGCUACGGGCACAGAGACUGAGGUGCAAGUAUUGGGCCGGGAGAUAUUAUUAUUCGGUGCAAGCAUUGGAUGUCACGACUUCCGGAUUUGCUGUCUUUCAGCACAAUUGUGCAAAUCUUUCUCUGUUUGAAUUGUCACAUUCUGGUUGAAAUACAAGAGUUCGUGUCGGGAUUGUGCCUCAUAGGUGACGAAUUGGUUGCUGGACGACUUUCAACAUCGAAUGGGAAUAUCAGGGUCGGGGCGUGUCAUAUUGGUAUCAGAGCAUAGGUUUUGUUCAGAGCAUACUUAGGAUUCUCUUCAAUUCUCGUUUUGUGUCGGUUAUGACAUCAUUUGGAUGUCACGACUUCUGGAUUUGCUGUCUUUCAGUGCAAUUGUGCAAAUCUUUCUCUGUUUGUAUUGUCACCUUCUGGUUGAAAUACAAGAGUUCGUGUCGGGAUUAUGCCUCAUAGGUGACGAAUUGGUUUGCUGGACGACUUUCAACAUCGAAUCGAUACUCAGCGACGUGUUUUAGAAAUCUCAGUUUGAGAAAUUCUGGUUAAGACCAACCGAGGUUCUGAAUCGGUGAUAUUACUCUGCAACAUGCGUUCCCUAGGAAUUGCGGGUGGAGUCGGCUCUACAUGGAAAUCUUUGGAAAUAAAAAAACCUUGGCGGUACGAGUUGGUUAAGACCAAUUAGAAAUCUAAAACGGUGAUAUCACUCUACGACAUGCCUUCCCCAGAAAUGGCGAGCAGAGCCAUGUCUUAGUGGUAAUUGGUGGCAUCGAAUCAGUGUUCUCGAACUCAUUACCACUGAGGAAAUUGGUGUGGUUCUUUAAAACAAUUCUCAGUAAUUAUUCUAUUGAUAACUUUCUUGCUUUUUCCAACGACGAAGUCAAGUUCCUUAACCUUUGACCGUCAGCUUUACACCAAAUUCUUCUAGUGCUGACUUCGUCUUCAUUCAUUAUUUUUCUUGGGAAACUCCUCAAUAGCAGACGCUAUUCUCAUCCAUUUUCCCAAGUGGAGCUACGAUUCUUGUCGUUGUAAUUGGACUUGGAUGAUGAAGACCCAGUCUUGUUUGGAUAAAUAGACUCAUUGAAUUCCACUUGAGUUUAGUACUCUGUGAUAAACCCUAGCACCUUGACCACGUACUUUUCGGUAGAGGUGAAUUUAGCCUUUUGCUUGUAGCCCAAUUGAUCAGUGCUCUUAUCCAGUAAUUGUUCAACCUUGUAAUUUUUCAGUGUAAUGGCUUGAGAUUCUACCACAUUCAUCAUUGUAUGAAGAUCGAGCUUUACUUUGAACUUCUCUGGACUCAUUGAGCUUUGGUUUGCUCAAGCGCAUCACUUUAAGGUAGCCAAUCGUGUCACUGCAUGCAUACGCAGGCUGCUUCAUAUAUUUCUACUUCGUCAUUCUGUUGAUUCAGAGGUUCUAUGUUUAAUUUUUGAACUCUAAAAGAACUCUCACAAAGUAUGGUGAAUUACGAAAUGUCUUUGGCCUCGUCAAAUCUUAUUAAUAUUUCUUAGUUAUCCUUGAGCGUAGACCUAUUUCCUUUUUGGCUAAGAAACCAGUUGACCAUACUGUGAUGAUUUGCAAAAUAAUCAUAAACAGUGACUUCUAUUUAUGCAUCUUCACCUUCCUUCGCUUGUUUGUUUCUCAAUGUGAAUUGAAUCAUGCCGGAACAAUACACUGAGGGCAAAAAAUCGGCAUGGUUUCUCACUCAACCAGAUAUUUUGUACUCUAGAUUUAGUGGACUCGUUUGACCCUCAAAUUCUUUAGUGUUCUUUCAGCCUUCUCGACAAAGUUUCUCGCUCAAUCAGUGAGGAAAUCAUGAUUAAUCAAUUAGGCGAAUGCGUACACCUAGUUUCCUAACGAUGCUAGCAAGAAUAUUUAGAGCAUAACCUGUACACACGCUUACUAGUCUUAUCGAGAAGAUUUUCUUUUGGCUUGAGAUUUGAGCUGUCAUUUGGUAAGAGUUUGGUGAAGAUUGUAGUGCAGGUGAUCAGCAGAUUGUAUCAAUAUCUUCAGACUGAAUUGUUGAUCAUCAUCUUACUACAAUUCAUAGGCAUCACAUCGGUAUCUCAAGGUACGGUUAUCAAGUGAGUUCCUCGUUGACAAAAUUUUGGACUUACUGGUCACAUUUGGAGGAACUGAGAAGAAUAGAAUCCUUGGUGCUAAUUAGAGUUUUGAUGACAACAGUUUUUGUUUUGUUUGGUUUAGGUACGACACUUUUGCGAGAUGGUACGAGAACUUCUGCAAGCAACACUGGUUGACAAAGGGAUUUUUUGAACUGGUAUUCGGAAGAUGAAAUUUACGACGUGGGAAAUUGUGCACCCUCAAGGAAUUACUUGCUUGCUUAUCAAUAUAACAAAUGUGAGGUCGAUAUUGCGGGCUACAGAUUGUGAUAUCGAUAGCUUAUUUGUUGGGUUCAUUAAGCAAGUGGGCAAGAAGACCCGUCUACAACAGUUGUUGCGGAUUUAUUAUUCUUGGGGCUCGACCCAAAAACAUUCAUUCUCAUAGUACGUGACGUUUCAUAUGCCUAGGCGAGAUCCACUCUUAUUUUUUGGUUUUGGAUUUUCAGUAUAAGUAUUUUAACUUCCUUUACUUUAGUUAUUUGUAUUUUUGAAGUUACAAAUGUUUUGGGGAAGUAUUUCCGUUUUCAGUUUUAAGUUUAGCACGAGUUUUUGACCUAUAUGUUUUUACCUAUCUAUUUUGGACGUUAUCGUAUUUUAUGUACUUACUUUUGACCUUAAGUUAUUUUGUGUUUUCGACCUUAUAUCUUUAUAAAGUAUUUUUCUACGUUUACUUUGAUGGGGAAGAAAGCAAGAGUUUGGAGGCAUGACAGAGGAUUUUGUGACCCGCUCGCGACAGUGUGGCAUAUUCUCUUUGAUGCACCCACUCUGACUUAAUUACCCUUUAUACAUAUAUUCUUCUUUCUAUUUUCGAGUAUUUUAAUUAAGUAAAUUAUUUUAAAUUUCGGGACGAAAUUCUUUUAAGGGGGUAGAUUGUAACAACCCGUUCCGGGAUUUACUAUAUAGAAAAAGGUAUUUUUGUAUUUUCACCAAGUUUGGGAAUUUAUUUUCCUUUUAAAAUUUGUUUUUGGGUCUUAAAUGGUGAGCCAAGGGGACCCACCCCUGAUUUCUGUCCCCAACCUCUCAUCUCUCUCUUCUCUCUCUGUUCUCCCUUUCCCGUAUCUCUCUCCAUUUCUCUGUAACUCUCUCCCUCUCACCCAUGUUCUCCCUCCUUGCACACCCUCAUCUCCCUCAUCAUCAACACCAUCAGCUUUCCCUCUCUCUCCCACCGCUGCAAGUCACGGCAUAAACCCGAGGAAGAGCUCCGGCGAGUCUCUGUCACACUCGACAUGGGUAGGUCUCGAAAAAACACUCCAAAUACUUCUCUUUUCAUCCCUAUAGUUCUUUUCUACCCCGUGGUUGUGUUUUUGGACGUCAAACCAUGAAGAAACACGUCGGGGAGACUUCCCUGGAUUUCUGACGAGAAACCAACGGCUUUCGAGCCAAUUUUCGGCCAAACCACGGUGAGUUGGCCGGCGUGUAAGGUAUCAAUCUCUUCGUCUCUCUGAGUACUACAACCUUCCUUUUUGUUUCACCCAAUUUCGUUGAGUAUUGAAGAAGUUAUACUCAUUUGAAUCUUACCCAAUUUCCGGCGAGUCCGACAGUUUUCGAGGCGUUUUCCGGCCAAACUACAGUGAGUUAGACAUCGUGAGAGAUACCAUUCUCUUUGUCUCUUCGAGAACUACAACUUUCGUUCUUGUUUCACUUGAUUUUGUUGAGUAGUGACAAAGUUAUGGCCAUUUAAAGUUGGGUGGUUUUCCGGCCGAAUUUCCGGCCUUCUUCUUCCUUUGAAUCCGGUAGCCCAAAAACCCCAAGGCCUUUGGGCCUUUCCUGCUGAGCCCAACCCAAAACCCAUUUCUGUUUUAUUAUUUAUUUUAUUUGUUGUUUUUAAAAUAAGGGCCUUAGGCCGGUUUUUGUUAAGGGCUUUAAGCCCAAAACCCUUUUAACCCUCUAACUCAUUUAACCUAAAACUCAAAUCCUUUUAUUUUGUUUUAAGCCCAAACCCUAAAACCCACUUCCCUAUUUAUUUAAACUCUAAGCCCAAUCCUCUAAUCUAUUAGCCCAAAACCUAUUUAAGUUAGGAGACCCUUAACCCUAGAUCCCGUCCAACCCAAACCCUUUGUGUGGAAUAUUCCGUUAGGGAAUAUUCUUUAGAAUAUUCUUUUGACUUUACGAAAUGUAUCUGGGACCCUUCUUAGGGUAAGACGACGUCCUG
rnacentral:lncRNA from 1 species